UGCCCUAGCAGCGGGAACAGUACUGCAGUAAGUGAUUGGACUCUGGAGUAUUGUUUCUGCUGCCAGCGUA
rnacentral:pre_miRNA from 1 species